rnacentral:misc_RNA from 1 species
UCACUCGCAGGAGUGGAGCAGAGUUGAUGAUGUGUGGAGUGAGGGCGUAUUGAAUCUGUUCCUUUCGUUGUUUGGUUUGCUUCAAUAUCCUGUUCAGAAUCAAACUGACGAAUACACCGGGGUUUGGCAUUGGUUGACUCUCAACCAAUCAGAGUUCUUCGUAGUUCUUUAUAGAAGAAGCCCGCUGCUAUGAUAUGUGUCAGUGUUUCUCUGACUAUCGCAAUGGAUCGUCUAACGAUGCGGCUUGUGUUUGGCCUCGCUGUCGUCACAUGCCUUUCCAUCACAAAUACGGAAGGGACCUUCAGAUUCAGAUGUCCAAGGUUUCGUUGUCUGCAGUGGAUCAAAUGUGGUAACGGCAAUGUCGAGAUAUGGGGCUGUCCAGUAUGCCUGUGUAAACCACCCCCCACAACAACAAAGAAGCCGGAGUUGUGUCUGACCUGUUGUGGCCCUCCGCCAUGUUGUAACUUCUGCUAACGUCAACCAACUUCCUAACGUCGUUCUGGUGAACAGUUGACUUACCUGCGUUUGUGAAGUGUGCAGCCGAUGUGGCAGGAGACAUCCAGCUUGAAUUGUUAUUGAUUUAUAAACACAUGAACACAGUCGUUCAUAUGUAGUACUUACGGUAGAGUCUUCAGCAACCCAUGCUUGUCUUAAAAGGAGGCGACUAACGGGAUCGGGUGGUCAGGCUCGCUGACUUGGUUUGAUGCAUGUCAUCUUAUCCCAAUUGCGUAGAUCGAUGUUUAUAUAUGAUGUCAAUUACUUGAUUGUUUGGUCCAAACUCGAUUAUUUACAGACCGCCGUCAUAUAGCCGGAAUAUUACUGAGUGCGGCGUUAAACAACAAAUAAACACACAAACUUAAGGUAGUAUUACUUCAAUCUUACAGCUAGCCUGACCACCCGAUCCCGUUAUUCGUAAAAGGCGACUCACGGUAUCGGGUUGGCUGACUUGGUUGAUGCAUGUCAUCGUAUCCCAACUGCGUGGUCCAGACUCGAUUAUUUACAGACCGCCGUCAUAUAGCUGGAAUAUUGCUGAGUACGGCGUUAAACAACAAACCAGCCAACCAACCAAUCUUACAGAUGCCUUCACGCCAUCUAGAUGAAUGUAGGACCAUCAACAGAAGAAUGUAAAAGCUUUUUGUAAACUGUUCUCUUGUUCGUUUUCUUGUAUAAAUAAAGUACUGUAGGACUA